rnacentral:rRNA from 1 species
CCUGCCCACUGAAUAUUUUUAAAUGGCCGCAGUAUUCUAACUGUGCAAAGGUAGCAUAAUCAUUAGUCUUUUAAUUGAAGGCUGGUAUGAACGGUUGGACGAAGUAUAAGCUGUUUCAUAUAAAAUUAUAUUAGAAUUUUAUAUUUUAGUUAAAAAGCUAAAAUAUUAUUAAAAGACGAGAAGACCCUAUAAAUCUUUAUAUUUAAUAUUAUUCAAAUUUUUUUGAUUAAUUUUAUUUUUAUUAUAUUAAAUAUUUUGUUGGGGUGAUAUUAAAAUUUAAUAAACUUUUAAUUGAGAAUUAAAACAUUAAUUUAUGAAUAAUUGAUCCAUUAUUAAUGAUUAUAAGAUUAAGUUACUUUAGGGAUAACAGCGUAAUUUUUUUUGAGAGUUCAUAUCGACAAAAAAGUUUGCGACCUCGAUGUUGGAUUAAGAUAUAUAUUUAGGUGUAGCUGUUUAAAUAUUAAGUCUGUUCGACUUUUAAAUUCUU